AGUUCUGUGUUUUGCCUCUAAACAACAAGCGUAGCAGUGUGAAGAGAGGCAAGCCCACAGUGCAUUAUUCACAGCUCGGAACUGACUCUCUGAAGAUUCAAUCUCACCUCCUAGUCCUCUGGAGCCACGCCAAGUUGCCUCUGUUGGGAGCUGCCUUCCAGCUUUGCCUUGCUUCUUGAGAUUUGGCAGAUAGAAGCCUGUCUGUGCCAAUCACCCUGGCUAUGUGGUGUGGCUUAUUUUUUCAGUACACCACAGGACAGAAUGGACAGGGAGGAACAGCACCUUCAGAAGACAGAUGCAGGGGGCACCAAUAAACUGGGAGAAUGUUGAACAUUUUGAUCCAGAUCCCCUAAGGAGCAUCUCUUUAACCCUCCCUGCUGCCAUUUACAAACAGAACAAAGAAACUGGCCAGUCACCCAAGUAGAACCUCAAGUCCUUCCUUGCAGCUGACGACUUCCAAAUGGGCUGUUUCUCAAACUCUCGGUUGCAAGACCUCCCUGGAGACACGCUUACUUCUUGUAAGGCUGUUAAGAGCCAAAAGAAAUGACGAUAAAGGUUCCAGUGGGUAGUUUUGACUUGUUACCAGCCCUUUGUUUUCAGACUCACAAUCACCAAGUUCCUGAUUUCUUUUAAUGAGGCUUUCUCUCACAUGCGUGCUCACACAAAGACACAACCACAGUGGGGAGCAGGGAGAGAGACAUAAAUGAGUGUGUGCAUUGGUCAUGAUAGCACUUGCACAUGUCUCAGGUUGAAGACCAGCCUGGCAGCUAUUGUUUUUAGAACAAAACCUGCAAAGCCUAGCUCAUAUGCAGUUUUGUUAAAAACAAAACAAAAAAACUUUCAAUGAAUAUCAAACGAUCUGCAGGCUGCGGAAACAGGUCGGUUAAAUGCUCACCUUGUUUGAUCUUCAGAACCUUCGUUUAGAAAAAAAAAAAAGUUGGGUGGGGUGGCACACCUGUGAUCCCAGUGCAAGUGAGGUGGAGACAGGUGGCUGUCUGAGGUUCAGUGGCCAGCCAACCUAGCCUAGUAGGUGGGUUCCAGGCCUACACCAAAAUGUAAAAGAUAGAUGAUUUCUGAAAAAUGACACUUGAAGUUUUCCUCUGGCCUCCCAAGCAUGUGUACACAUGACCGAACACAUAUACACACACACACACACACAUCUGGGGAACAGAGGGCAUAAGGAGUGACCUGAAUUGAAUAAUUCCCUCUGUUCGGUUUCCAUCCUAUAGAAAGUCGUGUGCAGAAGGGAAGCAAAGCUUGUGUCACAAGACGGGGCAGGGAUUGGUGUGAAUCUGUUUCAUUCUGUUUAACAGAGGGCAAUGUGUUUGUGAGCCCCUAGACAGCACAAUCUUUAGAUUUAAAAUAGGCUUCCCAAACUGAUGCCUGGCUGCCUUUGUCCCAUAAGAAAGCAUCCCCAAAUAAGCCCUCGGUGAAAAUAUUUCCAAAAACAGAGUUUAUAUGUGGCAUCGUCCUGAAGAUUCUGAAGCAAACAUUGGUAAAGUUGGGCUGCCUCAUCAGGAAAACUCCUCGAAGAGUCUAAUGACUGUUUUCUGGCUGAAAUGUCCUCCAUCGCAGAGGUCAAUCAUCCACUUUCUCCGUCAGACAGCCAGAAGUAAUACGGACACCCAGGUACUAUCUGUCUGCAGCUCACCAAAUUUCUGAGGUCAAAGCAUUUAUACAGUGAGGUCUUUCAGUGCCAUUAACCGUGAAAAUAUCCAAUAUCAAAAUGAUUCUGAAUCUCAAAAGCAAUUUGAGUUUUAAUCUGAGUAUUCAAGGUAUGCACCCUUGUAGCUGUUGCAUCCAACUAUCGGUCGACCCUAAAUCGGUCAAAUUGAUGAGGUCGGUGACAUGAAAUAAAAGACCACAAUGUGCUGUCA